rnacentral:rRNA from 1 species
ACGCUCGACACCUACGGGAGGCNGCAGUGGGGAAUAUUGGGCAAUGGGCGCAAGCCUGACCCAGCAACGCCGCGUGAAGGAAGAAGGCUUUCGGGUUGUAAACUUCUUUUGUCAGGGAACAGUAGAAGAGGGUACCUGACGAAUAAGCCACGGCUAACUACGUGCAAGCAGCCGCGGUAAUCUGAGCGGGCUGGCAAGGC